GGGGGGGGGGGGGGGGGGGAAGGACAAGGACGCGGUGCACCACGAAGAAGGAGAACGGGAAAGAGUCUUCCUCCUGCCAUCUUCACCUCGCCGGAUAGCCAUCUCCCGUUUUUUUGCUUUUUAGUCCUUUAUUAAUUUUGGAAGAAGAAGAAGGACCAUUUCUCAUUUCCACAACUAGUGGAAAUGAGAUGCAGCGGCGCUCUGAAUAUUGCCCCCCUCCCUCCGGGUUUUAAUGGUUUGUCCCAGUUCUCUGGAGGACAGCAGGGGUCACCAGGACAGUCUGUUAUGGUAUGGACCACAACACCUCUGAAUCAGUCGCGGGGGUGGGGGUGGGGGGGGGGGGAGUGGGGGAGGGAGGGGUGGAAGGAGAGGGUGGACCGGUGGUUCAGCCCUACAUGGCCACUAAAAAAGGAAAGCCUUGAGCUGAAUUUAUGCUCAAAGUCACCUCCCGGUGCAGACUGCCAUACUUGGGAAGGAAGCACGGGGAGGAGAACAUGUUCUGCUCGUAACUUCCUUGACGUUGGUGAAAGGUCACGCCUCCGUUUGUCUGCCUUGCUUCUCUCGUGCCAUUCAUUCAGGUGUGGCCUGCUCUAUCUGCUUGGUCAGGCCCAGAGCGCAUGGCUUGUAUUGACCGCCCCUGCCCAGCCCAGCCCCAGGAGUGGCGGUGACCCGGUUGUCUGAGUGACACCCACAGCAGAUGCUGACAUUAUCAAAUGCUCGACGCCUGUCGCGCCUUCUCGCUUCUCUGCCCUGUUAUGGCCAGUGUACGAAGCCAGAGUCCCGGCCACCUGACGUGGUGAAGUGGUCGGGGGGGCAUGUGGGUGUGUGUGUGUGUGUGGGCGAGCGUUGGAGUGUAUGUUACAAAUAGAACUGCGCCUGGCGUGCCAUAUCAAGCUGGCCCUGUGCUGACCUCCGUCGUGUCUACAAGCAGCUCAGUCUAUCCUUCAGCUGUCGUUGGUCACUCAGAGCUCAUGGACAGGAGAGGAAUGAGGGAGGGGGAAGGGGGGGCAGGGAGAAGCAUAGUCAAUAAAUGUAAGAGCUGACUAGGCUUCAACUGCCGUGUGCAAAAUGCUCCCAAUGAACCUUUAGCAUUGAUUAAAGAAGCCCAGAAAAGAAAAAGACCCACGCAAUGCAGCUGUGGGUUUCUUCAGAGCCUUCUGGCCUCAGUCAGUGUCAGAGUGUGCCAUCUGAAACAUCUCGUCUCUGGGACUUAAUUGACUGUUCCAAAUUAAUGUUGUGACUUCGCCCCCGAGGGUAACGUUUCAGGAGCGCUGCGGAGAAGCAGUGUGUGAGCGAGUGAUCCGGUGUGUGUGUGUGUGCGUGUGUGUGUUUGUCUAUUGGCCGUCCCAGUGACCAAGGAAGCAGUAUGUUGAUGGCAGGGCCCAUCUGUCAGAGCCUGUAAUUGCUACAUGACUCCGGGACAUUUGACUCAAGUGCACCGCCACAGAUUAUUAUUAUCCUUUUCUUGGGCAACUAUUUUUCUCCCUAUCUAGAAAGUUGUGGGGGGUGCUGGUUAAACUUACAAGAUAGCAAUGAGGAUAAAUAGAUUGGCUGGAAGGCAGAGGGUGGGAGAAGUUCUGAAAGGUUGACUGAGUGCAGCUGUGUGUGUGUGUAUGUGUAUGUGUGUGUGUGUGUGUGUGUGGCAUGCUAUAUGUAAGUAUGCGUCAGACAGAUUGAAAGUGAGCAGAAAAAGAGAUGGAUGGGGCUGUCUGAGUGUAAACGUGAAGCCUGUCGACUACGGUUUUGAAAAGUGUGGUUAAAGAUGCAGCCACUCCUUUUAUUUUGCACUGUGGGUUUCUAUGCAGACUGCUGGUAAGACAACUAUCUAUAGGCCGGGCUGUAUCACGAAAACGCUUUACCACCAAGUUACCGCACCUGUCCCCGGAAAGUGUGAUCCACAAUGCUUUGCUAAAGCUGGUAAAAUGGAACCAAAUCACCUCUUGAAUGGAUUUGGUCCCCUUCAACCAGCUGUAGCUAUGCUUUGAUGACUACAGGAGCUCCCUGAUGCUGUGUGCUCUUAAGUGUUACAAUUAGCCCUCUAACCACCUUCAAGACGACCAGAGCGAUGCCGGCGGGCACCAACUGAAUCAUAUGCGAGUGUUGUAUUGAUUCCCUCCACGUGUAUCAUGUAAAACCUGUGUCUUAAUAAAUGGAAAAAUAAAAAUAACUAAUCCCACCUUGAAGACUAUUUUUCAGUAAGGCUCACUUUUUCUUUUGGAGCGUCGCAUUUCAUUACCGUCUCUAAAAUAGCAGGGGAGUGAAGGCAUGCUUACCGCAUGCACCAAUUCAGGACGCGAAGCCCUCACAUGCCAGUGUGUGAAUGUGCAACUUAAGACAACUCAACCUAAGCAACUGUCACUGGCUGAUGAGAGUAAAUUACACUUUAGGGGAUUUGAGGGAGAAGUUGAAGCUGAAGAGAUAUAUCGCCAAAAUAGCACAUUGGGAGUACAAUAACACUGUAAAGAGUAGAUCUAAUGCAGAAUUAGGAGUGUUAAAACGAGACAAUGGAGAUUGUACACACACACACACACACACACACACACACACACACACACACACACACACACACACACACACACACACACACACACACACACACACACACACUGCCCCGGAGUGUCCUGUCGUGAGACUGGACCUGGAGGAGGAGAUUAGAGCCAGAUGCUCCAGAGGACAGCAGCUGAAUGCACAAAUCACAGGAGCACACUUCUUUCUCUGGCUUACACACACACACACACACACACACACACACACACACACACACACACACACACACACACAAACAAACACACAAACACACAAACACCGGCACGUACACACAAAGCUAGUGCCGCAGUGUAUGCAGACAGAUCAAACUGAACUCAGAACAUGCAGUGUCCCCUGCCCUUUCGUUUCGCCUUCAUCCCUCUCCCUCCCUUUCUCCUUCUCCUACCCGCUCGCUCUCCCCCUCUCGCACUACUCUCAAUUUGUCUAAUUUGGCUGACAAUUAAGCGCGUGUCAAAUUGACCUUGGGGAGAGGUAAAGUGAAGGGAAGGGGGUUUUACAGGUACUGAGUAACUGACGAGUAGCUGACGAGUGAAAUAAAGGCACGACCAGAAAGCGAGGGUUAGACUGCAGAUACUGCAGUUCUCCAGAAAGAGCCGGAGCCAGGGCUCGGCGUAGUUCCCAGCAUUUACACAUUUUCUGUGUAUGUGGGAAAAUUGACAAUACAUAUUUUUUUUCUAAUACAAACUAAUAACGCAGCCUUACUUGGCAUGCAUACACUUACACCGCAGCAUUAUGAGCGUUCCAUGAAAUCCAUGAAAUUCCAAAUGAUAAUAUUCUAAAAACAUUUUAUUUUUAUAAUGAAUAGUUUAUGCCAUGGUACAAUCCACGUGUCCAGUGUGACGGGGGAAAUCAAACACAAUUACGGCAAAACUGACUAGACCUCAUCCAGAUCAGCUUAAUCUGAACAUGACGGGAGGGAGGGGUUACGGGGGUAGAGGGAUGUGGCGAUAAACUCCUAAUUCCACAAAAACCCAUGGCGGAGAGCGGAAAUGCAGACGGGAGCCAGAGGAACGCAAACACUCAGCCCGUUUCCACGCAGUUGUCUCUCCACAGGCCCAGAACGCCAUUUCCCCAUCUCAUUAUCAACCCAGUUACGAAGGCUGCCAUCACAGUGCUGUGCCUGUUUGUUCCGGCAGAGCAAACCAUUACAGUGGGAACACUCAUUGCCAUUUGCAACGGACCUGAAAGCGCUGAGGUUACUGUACAUCAGGUGGGGUAAUGGGUGACCGGGGCCAUCCUCAUACGUCGACAUGUUAAACAAGACCAGGGUCCGUGUUUAAGAGGGUAGAAACGUGGAGGAUGGGAAAGUUAAAAAAAAAUAGAAACGAGGCAGAGGCAGCCACUGCAGCGCGUGUUUGGAGACCCUUUAUGAGUCAUGGGCUAUUAAUCGUACUGUUUACAGUGUCGUAGCAGCCCCUGGCCUGGAGUGGUCCGAGGGAAGAGACGCGAACCAGGCUCCCCUCAGGAGGGGCGGGGGCCGCAGUGAACACACGCAGGCAGCAUUCCCAUCAUGGCUGACCAAGGAGGCGUCUCCGCACUACGUGAUGGGACCAUUCGUUCUCUCGCUCCUCUUUUCCCCCACUUCGGCGGUGUUUGUAGAACAUAACAAGGUCUAAUUUAUGAGGAAAUGCAUUUACACACGGCGUAAUUCACCACGUGUGCGAGCGUAAUGAAGGGGGGUGAUGUAUAGCCGGGCGCCCGGAUUACCGGGCUCGGGCGGGUGGAGUUGAUUUGUCUCGGUAUCAGAGUCUGAACACGGGUAGACUCAUCCGUCACCACCAGGGUCCUCUCUAGUGUCUCCUGGUGGGUUUUUUUUUUUUUUUUUUUUUUUUUUUACACACACACACGCACCACUGAGAAAGUGGUCCAUGCUUACAAACACACAACCGUAGAAACACUGGCUUUGCCUGGUGGCUAAACAUACAAAUGCAGACAAGCCUCGGAUGAUGAAAAUCACUUUCAGCACUGCCAGAAGAUCAGGAAACAGGGGUCACGGGGAGGUGGCUGCCAUCUUUUCUCUUAUCGGGACGCCUUUUCAUUCUCCUGAUUGGAGACACCGGACCAGCUAUGAAUAAAGGGGCUCGUUCUGAACAGUUGUCCCGUAAUACUAUCCCCGUAACUCUAUUUAAAAACACAACGAUAAGUGGUGAGAACCUCCACCUCAUCAACCGGGAACUUAUGGAAACGCUGCAAACAUAACAUCUCUGCCACGGUCCUCAUCCCCACAGCCCCCGCCAUCUUGAGAGUUGUUCCACACAGAGCUUAGGUUACAUUUCAGUUGAUUUGAUGACGCCAACGCUCGCAGUCACAAGUGCAAUAGAAAGCCGUGCCAGCAAGGGAGGCCAUACCCUCUAUUUUUUCAGAGACUAAAUCAGCUGAAAUGCAGUUAUAGACGGUUACACUGGCAUACUUCUUCAGUGUAGGGGCUGGGUUUACUAGACCAUACAAACGAUAACAAAUUGGUGCAUAAUUAAAAGCUAAUAUCUACUUGUUUAGCGACAACUAUAAUUAACGUUUUUUGCACCAUGGUUAAAUGAUCCGUCGCCGGGCAGCCAGGCCACCACAGAGAGAGGGAGACGGGCCAGGUGGGGUUAGUCUGCUCCCAUCUAUUUAUCAGACCGUCAUAGUGACUUAUGUAGAACACUGCUGUUGCUGUGACUAAAUGGAGAACAUUUGGUCUGCGGAUUAAAUAAUACUGUGUCGAGCCUCAUUUUAUUAAAGUGUCGUUGUGUCUUACUAAAUGUAUCCAAUAGGAUCAGUGUUGAGUAUUGAUGAAGCACCGAAGCAAUAAACCUGCAACCGAUAAACAGAAUCGGUAUCAACUAGACAUGUUGCCUCAUGUACAUUUUCUGAGCAAAUGCGUGUGAGCCAUCUCUUCGUAUGUGCAAUAUUCCGCAAGCAUGCUGAAAUGCUAGCAAGGCUAAUGAGCGAGCACGCCAAAUUUCAAGCCCUAGGCCGCUUUGAGACCACCUUGUGAUUGAUUGAAUAGUGUGGCGGAUCGUUUUUGUUUGAUCUCGAGUUACAGCGCCCCCUGUCGACGAAGGGGUGGUUUACCACUUUUUAGAGAUCUGCUGAUGCGCUGUUUCUGUACAUGUACCGACUUUGACCACUCUGCUUUUUUCCCCUAUUCCCUUCAAUUAUAAAAACUAGCUUGCUGAGCAUCUGCAACAGUGGUUAUUUGAAAUUGACCCUGUAAGGUAUCUUUUAUAGCUAUGAUUACAAAACGUUCCAAAUUACCGAAUAGGGAUGUCCUUAGAGGGCCCAACAAGCUAUAGGUCCCUUGGAUUUCACUGAGGCAGACUUGUUAUUGAAUGAACAAUGGCGGCUCAUUUGCAUAAUCGUAUUUUCACAUAAAUCUGCCAUAUCACAUUUUUAGAACAAUAACAAUUAUAAAUAUAACCGCAAGCGGUGAUUGACGGGGUCCGAGCAAAAAUAAAAGUCAAGAACAAACUAAUGGAAGAUAUAUAGAUGUAACAUAUAAUUGUCAUAUUUAAGGAAGGAUGUUCCACUUAUAAACCUGAACUGCAGCCUCAUUCACAUAGUCAAAAUGUCUAAAGCACACAACAUCCAGAAGACUCAAAGCACACAUAUCUCAAGUGAAUUAAGUUCUUUCUUCAAAGCAUAUACCGGAAAAAUCUUUGAAAUUCUGGGGAAUUAAACAUUUGUAGUCAACGAAAAAUUCUGUUCGAUGAUUUUUGUGAGGCUUGGUCUAAAGAUUUCAUGUGGCGAUUUUGGUGAAUUUUAGAUUAUUUUUGUAGCCUGUGAAUCCUUUUUAUCAUGUUUAGCUUUAAGAUGAAAUUGUGGGAAAAGGUUUUAUAAUUACAUCUGAUUCUAGAGAUUAAUAUUCAGAAAGAAUUUUGAGUCCAGGUCAAUCUGGUGAGGAGAAAUAAGGCUAAUUCAUGAUUUUUUACAAUAACACCACCUUUUUGGUUUAUGGGUAGUGAGGGUUAUUGGUAACCAUACCUGAAAAUGUCAAGAGUUUGAUUUACGGUAUAGUCUGCAGUAUGACUUUUACAGAAUUUGAGGGGGAA